GAUGAAGAACGUAGCGAAAUGCGAUAAGUAAUGUGAAUUGCAGAAUUCAGUGAAUCAUCGAAUCUUUGAACGCACAUUGCGCCCGCUAGUAUUCUGGCGGGCAUGCCUGUCCGAGCGUCAUUUCAACCCUCAAGCCCCCGGGCUUGGUGUUGGGGAUCGGCGAGCCUCCGCGCCCGCCGUCCCCUAAAUCUAGUGGCGGUCUCGCUGUAGCUUCCUCUGCGUAGUAGCACACCUCGCACUGGGAAACAGCGCGGCCACGCCGUUAAACCCCCAACUUCUGAACGUUUGACCUCGGAUCAGGUAGGAAUACCCGCUGAACUUAAGAAUAUCAAUAAGCGGAGGA
rnacentral:misc_RNA from 1 species